UAAGAUUUUAUAAAUCUUUUUCAAGAAUUUAUAAAUCUUUUUCAAGAGUUUAUAAAUCUUUUUCAAGAGUUUAUAAAUCUUUUAAAAGAUUUUAUAAAUCUUUACAUUUAGAAGUAAAAUAUUCAUAAAUCUAUUAUAAGUUUAAAAAGUAAAAUCGGUGAUAUAAAUACAUGAAGAUGCUCGUUACUUAUUUUCUGAAAAAAAGAAACUAGAGUAAAUGUAAAGUACAAAUGAUUUACAGCUUACAAUCACUUAUAAGAACACGUGUUACACAUAUAUAUUACAGAAAGACAUGUGUCUUGUUUCUCUUAUAUGUGUCAAGAACAUAUAUAUUACAUAUAAAAACAAGUGUCUUCUCUCUCUUUCUGCAACUCCAAUCUUCUUGAAAAUUGUGUUUCUCUAUGAAAACAUAAAAACAUAAGGCUAAAUAUAUAUAUAUAUAUAUAUAUAUAUAUAUAUAUAUAUAUAUAUAUAUAUAUAUAUUGUUUUACGGUUUCUUUUAUAAGGUCUUAUAAAUAUAAAAAUCGUAAUAAAUACCUCAAGCGGGUUACCUUUAUAAAAUCACUUAUAAAUUUUAUAAGAGCUUAUAAAACCUUGUAUCAACCAUCUAUAAAGUUUUUAAAACAUAUAUAAAUAUUUAUAAAACUAUUUAAAAGGGUUUAUAAAACUAUUUACAAGAACUUAUAAGCUAUUUAUAAGAGUUUUUACAUUUAUUUAUAAGUGUUCAUAAAUUAAUUUACAAGUUUUAUAAAUCUAUUUAUAAGAGUUUAUAAAUCACCAAAUUAACCAACUUUCCACCAUUUCUUUGCUUAUUAAAGAACAUUUUUCUUUUACAGUUUCUUUUAUAAGGCCUUAUAAAAAGGUAUAACUGAGCAUUGAGAGAUACUUGGGGUUUAUGAAUUUAUAAUGGUUUAUAAAAAAAUAUAAAGGGUUUACAAAACCACAAUGUUAGAUGAACGCCUCAGUUCUGCAGAUGCACAUAAUGUAUCCAGACCAGAUAUAUAGCCUUCUAGAACCUUUCUCACAGCAAUAGCAAAAGCCUGAUUAACAAGAGUAUAGUGGCUCUUGUUAUUGGCUUCUUCAUUUUCACCUACUUUACAGCUCCCACCUGUCCCUCAACUUCCAACUUGAAGUUCAUGAAAUGGGUCUACGAAGUUAUGGAGAAGAAAGACCAAAGAACCAAAACAGCCUAUGUUUCAAAGAAUCUGUCCCAAGGCGUCAGUGCUUGAUAACCAAUGCCACAAGCUCAGACUUUUGUGGGUUGUCCUAUCAGCUGGCUCAGAGCAUAAUCCAUAAGAGAGCUUCUAUAUGCUAAUAAGAGAAGAACACCUUGCAGGGCAUUCAACGCCAACCUAACCAAGCUUAAUUCCUAUUAAAAAGCAACAAAAUUGUCAGAGUGUGGCCAAAAGUAGAAGUAGUCUCAAUAUACUUUUUUCAUUUCAUCUAAGCACUAAAGAUAUUCCAUUGUUCUGUAAUUAAUUACUAAGAAUAGAAAUCUGAGAACAUGACAUCGUAAUCUUCCCUAAGAUAAUGAUUUCGUUGUAACUCAAUACAGUACAUCGAGUACUAAACUCAAAUCAAUAAAAUUGAUACUUCUUUUUCCCCAAAUCAUUCCCUAUUAGGUUUCCGAUCCUAGCCACUCAAGCGAAAUGCAAAAGCUCAUGUUUCCACGCAUACAAACAUGAAAAGCGUAAAUGGUGAACUUACAGAGACAAAGGAAGAAGACGAAGGAGAAGCACGAGUUGGAGGAGGAAAUUGGCAGCUCUGAGAAUGUAAGGACUCUCAAUUACUUGGUGGAAGGUAAAGCUCCUCCUGUUUGAGCUUCUCCAGAAGCGAAUCAACGCUCGUCGACACCGUCAUUAUUUCUCAAUGGAGGAGAAAGUGAGAGAUCGUCUUGUUCGCCUGAGUUUGUAGAGUUUUUCGGCUUCGUCGGAGAAUUCGUCAGCACCGUCAAAUCCACCAGAGAACUCGCCAGCGCCGUCCGGAGAACUCGUCAGGAUCGUCGGAUUUGAUCACCGUCGAAUUCGAAAUCAAUCUGGAAACUCUCAGAUUUGGAAUUGAGAGAGAAAGAGUAAUUUAGGUUUAAUUAUUCAGGGGUAUAAUGGUACUUUGUCAAUUAAAAUUUUAAGGGUAAAGUUGAAAAGUGUAAAGUUGAAAAGUGGUAUUAGGGAAGUGGUAUUAGUGGCAAUUUCCCUUUUGGUUUUUGGUUUGGCUUUUAAAGCAAUAAAAUGAAAAAAAUUAUUAAUAGUAAAAUAUUUAAUCUGGACAUAGUAAAUAUAAAAUAUCAUUAUCAAAACACACAUAAGCUUAUUUUAAAAUAAAUAAACAGCAAACAUAAAAAAAAAUAUUAUUAUGUUUUAAACAUAAACUUAAAAAUUUAAUUCUAUGUGUAGAAUUUAACUGUAUAUGCAAUAAGUUUGUGUAAAAUUUUAGAAUUAAAUAAUUAUUGAUAAAUAAUAUUUACAAAUUUAAAUUAAAAAUUAACAAAAAUUAACAAUAUUUCUACAAUUGCGGCAAAUAUAAGUCUACACAUAUGGUAUAAUACAUAUAUAAUAGUUAUAUUUUAUGAAUAAAGUAAAAUUUAAUUAUAUUUUAAAAACAAUGGCAAAAAAUAAACUUUAUUAAAAUAUUUUACAUUAAUAUUAAUAGAAAAUAUUUUAAAACACAAAAGUAAUUAAAGUGUCACAAAAUAUUAUGCUUUAGUUAACAAUUUUAAUUAAUGACAUUUUUGUAAAAUACAACUUUAAUUAAUUUUAUAUAAAAUGUAUGGUACAAAAUAUUGAUUAAAACAUUAAUAAAUUAACUUAUCUUUAUAAAAUUUUAAUUGUUUCUAUAAGUAGUGAAGCUAUAACUCCAAUUGCUUAGAAAAGUGAUGUUGUUUUACGUUAAUUUUGUGGGCUUUGCAGAAUGAUAAGUGUAUGUAUUAUAUACUACAAUUUUAUCCAAAAUUAAUAAUUUUUUUUUAAAAAAAAAUACUUUUAUGGUUUUUGCUCGUGAGAAACCAUGAAAAAAGAGAUUUUGGUUUCUAAGUAGAAAAAGGUAAAAUGAAUCAAAAACUAGUUUUCCUAGAAAAUAGGAAAACUACUUUGUCAAAAUCAUGAUUGGUUAAAAAAUAGAUUAUAGAAAAUCAAAAACCAAAAACUACUUUGAAAACUACAAACAAUCAACCAAAUCUACUAAAACUGAUAAAAAAUAACAAAUGAUUGACCGUUUAAGUGACAUAUUUAUUUAUUUUUACAACUAAAAGUCUUAAAAUUUAUGAAUAUGGCAAAAUGAGAAUAGAAUAUGAAAGUCAAAAAGAGUUUUUUUUUUAAAUAUUUUUUCUUAUAAAAAUAGAAUAAAAAAAACCAAUUAAAUAGUAAAAGUUAAACAUUGAUUACGAUAUAUUAAAUUUUAAUAACAACUGAAAAAAAUAGUUAUAGGUUGAUUUCUUUAGAACCGACUUUUAAAAUUGAACCGGGUCAACGGUUUUACUGGUUUUUUAGCUGGUUUCACCAGUUUUUCUCAAAUCCGAGUCGUUCCAUUUUUAGUUUUCUACAUUAUUUAUAAUUUUUAUCUCUAUUUAAUUAUUUGAAUUCAAUUAUUUAAGAUUAAAAUAUUUUUUUUAAAAAAUAAAAAUAUAUCAAAAUUUAUAAUUUACGAUAUAUAAAUAGGGACUAGUUUCAAUUGGAUAUAGAAAAAUUAUUUUAUUUAUAUUUUUUUAUUAGCUUCUAAUCAAAUUUUUAGUGUUUCUAACUUUUUAACUAAUAAUAUUAAUUUUAUUAUUAUUUUUAAAAAUUAGUUAAGAAUGUAAAUAAAAAUAAAAUUGAAAAUUAUUAAAAGUUAUGUCACUUUAGUUAUUUAAGUGAACUAAAUAAAAAAAUCUAAUUAAUACAUAGUUGUUAAAUUAUAAAAGAUAAAAAAAUAUGAUUGUAAAUGGUGAGAUGAUAUUGAGAAGUUAUUAAACAAAAUUUUUUUGUAGAGCUUAAAAAGUGAUUGUUGGAUAAUUAGACAUUAAAUUAUUUUGUGAAAAAGAUAAAAGAUCAUGUGAAACGUUAAGAAACAAGAAAAAUAGAAUAUUGUUGAAUUAUGUUAACCAAUGUAAAUUGCUAAUACUAAAAGAGGAUUAAAUAAUCAUACUAUCAUAAAGCUUCAAACUUCAACGCCAGCUCGACAUGCCCUAGUUUCUUCUUGGUUGCGAGCGAGUCGACGGAGAUUUAACUCCGUUGAAACCGAUCGUCUCUUCACCUUUGUUUAUGUCUCACUGUUAUUUUAUAAUUACAGUCUGUCUAUCUCCCUCUUCACUUCUGCUCAGAGACGCAUUCAACUGAGGAUAAAGCUUUGACCUUCAUUGAUCUCUCUUCCACUCUUCAUUGUUGCAACUCUCAUAUGAUAAUUGACCUCUUCAAACUCCCAAGCAUCACCUUCUAUUAUAUAGUAUUCCCGUCUCUCGCUAUCCACGACUCCAUAUACCCGAAAUAAAAAAACCCCGCAUCCAUGGCUAACAAAAAAAGAGAAAUUCUUCAACGAUUCCCGUCUUGGGAGAGGCGAAGCUGUUUUUCAAAAAAAGAAUCUAUACAUACAAAAGGUAACUUAUUUUGAUAGUGUUCCAUGUUGUUCAUGUAUUCAUUUUAUAAUGCUUCUGUUUGUAGCUUAGAGAUAACUAAAUCUAUAAAUCAUGAACACAGAAGAGUUGAAGGUUUUUAAUGGACAAGUGGUGCGCUUUGGGAAUCAUUAAUUGCAAGGAUCCCAGUACCACAGCCUGGAUCGCUUCUUUGACAGGUUCUAACAUGAUCAUUUCACUUUGGUCACACAUUGGGUUUAUUGUUUUAGUAAGUAUUUGGCUUUCUAUUAGUUCUGUAUUUUGAUUUAGGUCGGCCACUAAAUGUACACAAUUCUGAUAGUUUACAACGUCUCCAUUUUGAUCCCAGGUAGGUUGAUGGAAAUGCAUAGGCUCCAACCAUACAAGUUUUACUUGAGCAAGGCUUUCUGAUGAUGAUUAUGCUACGGCUCGUGGUUUACUUGGAAAUGCAUGGCCUCCAAUCAUACAAGUUUUGAGUCUGUCACAUGCGUGGUUAUUCUGUUUGUGGCAAGCUGGCAGUUAGCUUUCGUUGUUCUCGCGAGUCACGAUGCUUUCGCUAAUGUGGCUUUUAAUGGUUAUAUUUAUGAUCAUGGCCGGCUUCAGUGAAAAUGCAAAGGUAAAAAAAUAAAAUAUGUAAUUUAUCUUCAGUUUUAGAGUUAGUUUUAGUACAAAGUUUUCUCUGCUUAUUUGUCUGAUGAAUGUAUUGAAAAGUUGUAGGCAGAGAAUGUACGAGGAAGCGAGCCGUGAACGAGUAUUAUUACUGUUGCUUCAUUCUACACAGACGAGAAAUUGAUUAACAUAUAUAAGAAAAGCUGAAGGUCCUAUAAAAGCAUGAAUAAACUAUGGCAUACUACUGAUAUCAGUUUCACAGAUUCUUUCUUCGUCCUCUUCGCUUCUUACGUCACCAGUUGUAUGAUGGUCUCGAUAUUGCAUCAAAUAAUGUCUUGAAUUGGGCUCUUUGUUUUUAAAAGAUUUACACUCUAGGUCACAUUUGUACUUAUGAAUUACAUCAUGGGUCACUUUCUUAUACCCACAUUUUCUGUAACUUUUAUCCCCUUUUCUCUUUAGGUUUACUAACUAAAACUGAAUCACCUAUUUUAUUAGUGGGUCCCUCUUUUCUUAUAUCUUCUUUUUAUUAGAUCUAAACGCAGUCGGAGCUAUAUCUUUUUAUUUUUUGAAACACGAGCUAUAUCUCUUCUUCUUCUUUUUUUUUCUCCAUCCUCGCAGUCUUCAAAGAAUCUUUCUCCUCUCUCUCACCACAUAGCAUCCUUACCUCUUUGUCACUGUCUUGUAGAUCUCUUCAUAGUAAGAGUCUAGCAGAAUCCACUAAACCCUCACAAAAUGCUCUCUCUUUCUCAUUUGCAUCCGCCACCGUAUUAAAAGCCCUCUUUACUGCUAAAAUCUACGCGAAUACUCUGGCUCAGUCAGCUUUGGCAUGCCGUGAGAAUCUCAUGGAUCAGAACCCUUAAAAUCGGUCUUCUUUGGAGGUGGCCAGAAGAUGAGAGUGGCAGAGCUUUCACGGAUUAGAGCAGUGAAAGAAGCAACAAAUUUGAAAAAAUGACUUUGUGGUCCAGGAGAGUAACUCUCCUUAAGAAAGGAGCAUGUGGAAGACUUGUCAAGUGGUGAUGAUUGUGAGCCUUUAACUCUCAAGGUCGUUUGCUAAUUGAUCCGUUGAAGAUUGCCCCUUCAUGUUUGAAUGAUUAUAACACUUGAAAGCUUUGACUGAGUCUUAAAAAAAUCUUAUUAGAGAGAAAUAACAUAUAAGUUUUUACGUGUUGGUUGUUGUGGGAGACUCUUGUUAUGGCAGGAUCAAGCUUACCUUUUAUGAUAAGUUUUCAUUAGUGUUAUGUCUCAUGUAAAAUUUGAUAAUGGAUGGUGAAAUUGCACGUAACAAUAGAUUUGUACACAUUUACGUUAAAGGUUCACUUAUGAAUUUCGGAAAAUGUUGCACAUGUAUACAUGCAUCCAAAUGUCCACAUGGAUAGCAUUAUCUCAGUGCAGUGGCGGACCCAGAAUUUUUUUUUACCGGUAUCAUAAAUUAAAUAUUUUAAAAUAAUAAUUAAUUUAGUUUUAAAUAAUUAAUUAUUAUUAAACAUAUUUGAUAUAUUUAAUAUUAUAUUUAGCAUGUUUACUUUGUGAAAACUAUUAUAAGUAAAAAAAAUCAGUAGGAAAAAAAGAUCAUUACCGAAAAUUAUCAGAUUUUAAUUAAAAAUAUGUUAAUUUGGAUACCCAAAUAAAUUUUUAGAAAAGAUUUUAAGUAAAACCCAAAAAAGAAGUACAAACUAAAGAACUAAGGUCCAAACAGGAAAAAAAAAUAAACAAAAUUUGGGCUUUUGGUCCGAUUCAAAAAAAAUAUUUAAACAAAAUAGGGUGCAAAGGGUAUUCGAACCCAGGUUAAAAAAUAUUUAAACAAAAUAGGGCUUUUGCGGAUUGUUUCUAGCCUACAAACCUAAUAUACAAUAUUUAAGGGGUGUCAGCUGACAUCCCUCCUUUAAAUAUGGGUCCGCCUCUCAGUGUACAUGUGGAUAUCAUUAUAUCAGCGUACAUGAAAGCUUAUCCAUGAUGAUUUUCAUGUUUGUGUACAUGAUGUGUGAAUAAUUGUUGUUUUACUUGAACGAAAGGAACCAAAGAUGUGAACCAGCACGAAAGAAAGUUGUUUGUAUACAACUUGGUUGUAUACACCAUGUGACCAGGGCCGGCCCUGGGUUAAAGCCCAUGAAACUGAGGUUUUGGGCGCCAUAAAUAAUAAAUAGUUUAGGGGCGCCAAAAUUGUAAAUGUUGCUUCUAGUCUAGUGGUUGUAGAAUUCUCCCUAUGUCCUUCACCUCACAGGUUCGAUAAGUACCCUUUCAAAAUUUCUACUCUUUUUUGUAGUAACAGCAUUUUCCUUUUCUGAAGAUAACUACAAAAGAUUUCUUCAUUCAAUGACAUGAAAUAUUUGGUUACAUGUUCCAACGACCCAUAUAUUAUUAGAUAAAUAAUUUAAUCAACAAAACUUAAUUAUAUUUUUUAUUUUUUAAAAACAAUUAUUCUUCUCUGUUUUUUCUUUCUGUUUUGCUAACUAGCUUUGUAACUAAAAAAUAUAUCAUAAAAGAUAAUAUUAACUUAAAAUAUCAGUUGCUCAUGUUUCACUCUUCCAUUGUGAUUGAAUUUGAAAUAUCUCAAUGGGAAUCUCAAAUAGGUAUUUUUCUUUAUUUCUUUUUUUUUGCAAGUGUUUGUAAUUUUGUUAGAAACUUUUGAAUUUUUUAAAAAAAAUCUUAACAUCAUAGGGUUUCAUUAUUAUGUGAAAACAAUAAAAUUUGUGAAGUUGAUGUUAGCAUACUUUAUUAUAUGUUCUAUUUAUCUAUAAAUUAUAUUUUUGUUCUUUUUGAAUUUGU